UUAAAAAAUAUCGAUGGAUCAUUUCACAGAGGAAAUCUCUGACACCAAAAAUAUUAAUAUUUCUCUUAUUAUAUUUUCUCAUCCUGGACAGAACAUCACCCUGCUCUGUAACAUCACUAAUUAUACUGAGAUAUCAUGGUAUCGACUGAGAUCUGAGGAGGUGAAGCUGCUGAUAUCUGCUGAAAAAGGGAACGAGAAUCACUUUGUUGUAACAGAAAGCAGCAGUUCAGUCGGUUUAGUGAUUACUGGAGUUAGAGAGACAGAUCUGGGAUUUUAUUACUGUGGAGGUCGAAACAGAACGACACACAUUCAGUUUGGGAAACUCAUCAGACUGAACUUUACAGACAAGUGUGUUAGCAGUAGAGACCUGAUCGAGAAGGAAGUCAAGCUGCAACACACUGCUGAUUUGACCUGUGUGACCUACACAAGAGUCUCCUGAAGGCCCAGAAACUAUUUAACAGCAUGAAUCACCACGUCACAGAAAACCUGCUAUGAUCUGGUCUACGUCUGACCACAGCAUUUAUUACAAUAAUUUUUAAUAAGUUUCAUUAAAUAGAUAGAUAUGUGAGAAUUAUUCUAAAAGCUGUGGUCAGUUUUCAUUUAAAGACAUUUCAGAAAUGGUAUUUAUAGCAGCUCUGAAUUCUGAGUAAAGGUCUGAGCUCAUGUUUCUGUUCAGCUGUGUGCUAUGUCCUGUUCAGACCGUGUGGUUAACACCACCAGUAGCCCUCAUCUUCCUUCCCUUUUAGGAUAUGUGAAGAAAGCAUUGUGUUGUGUUUUUUUUUUUUUUUUUUUUUAGCAUUGUAGGCAGUGGUGGACAGUAACGAAGUAAAUGUAAUUCGUUACUGUACUUAAGUAGCUUUUUCGCGUAUCUGUACUUUACUGAAGUAUUUCCAUUUGGGGAGACUUUUUACUUUAACUUCACUACAUUUCAAAGUCAAAUAUCUUACUUUUUACUCAACUACAUUUUGCGAAAUCAGUCGUUCCUUUUUAUUUAUGAGAGGAUAAAAACUUAACUGGUCGAGCACAUGGCAAGCCACCAAUCAGGGUACAGCGCGCACUCUUUUUUGAACUUGUUUUGGUUGCCGCUUGGUGGUAUCUACUUAGCGUGAAUACAGUUCAGCGUUAGUGCAACAGCAUAACAUUUUGAGAGUGCCAGUGCCUUCAUAAAUGAUGGAAGAAACUCCUGACUCUAACUUGCCACAACACCCGUGGCCUUAUUUGCGCGAUUUUUUUGAAGUCGUUGAAAAGAAGAAAGAGUCCUUCAUUUUCAGUUGCCUUCUCUGCCUGCCUCGGCCCUGUAAAAUUUCUUCUUACAAGAAUUCUCCUUCAAAUCUAAGGAAACACGUAGAGGUAAGCCAUUUUCAUUCUGGUGGUCAUUUUUAAUUGAGUAAUCUACCAGUAGCUUGCAGAAAACGGUUUCAUUGUGUAUGUUAAGUUAGUUGUUUUUAUCGAAGUUUGCAGUUGUUGAAGCUGAGUGCUCCGGUACUGUGAAAUGACAAUCAAUCGAUGUUAAUACUUUAUGUUGGAAUAUAAAUUCUAUUCUGACCUAGUUUUGAAUGCAGCAUAUGAUGCUUAAACAGUUGGCAGGUGGAGUGGAGUGCUCCUUAUUAACCGAGAUUGUUAUUUUUUCAAAUGUUCAGCUUCCAAAGACUGUGAUCUAAGCCUGUGCUGAAAAUAUUGUACUAUGUUGCUUAAACCACAUUAUAUAUAUAUAUAUAUAUAUAUAUAUAUAUAUAUAUAUAUAUAUAUAUAUAUACAUUAGUUUAUAUUUAUCAAGUUAUUUUAUUUACCAAGCAUCACCAGGUUUUAUGUGAAGCAGUACAGGAAUUAAUGCACAAACACUGACAAUCACACAUCCAAGCGUUACUAAAUUGAUAUAACAUUCCGCCUGACUUUGUGGAGAAAUGCAUGACUGAAAGAGUUUUGUACACAUAUGCAGCUGUGACUGGCAAGUGUGUUUCUUCUGAUACAAAAACUAGUUCCUGUUGUAAAUCUGAUAUGGCCAGUUUAUAUUUAUGCACAGAGACAUUCAGAUACAAUACUUUAAAAGAAAACUCAUGUGAAUCUGUGUUUAAUACAAGAUUUUAUUAAACUUAAACUUGCAACUAUGUUACAAAUAAACUGAAAACUUAAAUUGAAACUGCCUGCUCUGAAAUCCUGUUAUUUCAUUUGAUUCUAAAGAAAAUUGAUUAGCUUCAAGGUUUUGAGCUCAUGAUAAUUUUAAUAGACAUAAGUGUUUGACUAAUUAAUAUCAUUCUAUUAAUAGAUCGGUGUGCUAAGAGUAACAUUAGAGUCUUUUCACAUAUUGUUGAUUAAGCAAGAGUCUUGUGACAAAAAUGAUAAGAUAUUAUAGUCAUAAUAAAUCAUAGACCUUUGGAUACUUAAGUACAUUUGAAGGCAAGUACUUUUGUACUUUUACUCAAGUGAAAGUGUAAAGGGAGCACUUUUACUUCUACUGGAGUAAUAUUUUACCUAGUGUAUCUCUACUUUAACUCAAGUACUUGGUUUGUGUACUUCGUCCACCACUGAUUGUAGGUAGAUCUGUGUAAAGAACAUAAACUGAUGAAAUGUUGAAUGUGCUCAGAUCUAUAUGUACCUUCGUGAUGUGAGCAGUUUAUUGGACAGAUAAAAUACAGAGCAGGAUGUAGGACCAUGUGGCUAAAACCAGGCCUGAAACGCACACUGUUUUUUUUUUUUUUUUUUUUUUUUUUUUUUAACUCCACAAACUGAGUGUGAAACAUCAGCGCUUUUUCUCAGAGUGCUGCAGGGCGUGUGUGUGAGACAUGGCCAAACUCCUGUCUACAUUUAUUCUACAGAUGCUGUUUGCUUUCUUUACAUCGAGUCUCCUUCAGAUCACUUCAACUGAUCAUUUAUCUGUCCAUCCUGGAGAGAACAUCACCCUGCUCUGUAACAUCACUAAUUAUUCUGAGAUAUCAUGGUAUCGACUGAGAUCUGAGGAGGUGAAGCUGCUGAUAUCUGCUGUAAAAGGGAACCUGAAGAAACAGUUUAUCCUCAGUUAUAAUGUGAACGUGAGUCACUUUGAUAUAACAGAAAGCAGCAGUUCAGUCAGUUUAGUGAUUAUUGGAGUUAGAGAGACAGAUCUGGGAUUUUAUUACUGUGGAGGUCGAAACAAAACGACACAUAUUCAGUUUGGGAAACCCAUCAGACUGAACUUUACAGAAGAUCAACAUCGUGAGACUGAUCACUCAGACACACAGCAGUCUGCACCUCCUGCACACUGUGGAGAUAUUAUUAUUAUUAUUAUUAUUAUAAUCCUGUCGUGUGUGUGUGUGGUCUCUGUUUCAAUAAGCAUCACCUGCUCCUCUCUGUACUGUUCCAGUCUACAAGAUAAGUGUUCUUUCACCGGGGACUCGGAUGAGAAGGUAGCAGAAAAACAAGGAAAUGUAGUUGAUAGAAGGCAGUGCUCAGAUCAUGUCACUAUAAAAGCAGACUAAAAAUGUCACAUUAUCAGAUGUUUCUCUGUGCAGGAAGUGGACCUGCAGCUGUCUGAUUUGACCUCUGUGACCUACACAUGUGUCUCCUGACAGCCCAGAAAACAUUAGCAACAAUUUAUAAAGCUUUAUAUAAACACAUGGACAGAGGUGUGGUGCAGUUUCCUGCUUUUAUUUCUGUACUUUUAUAGGGUUUAUAGACCUUAUAUUGCUAAUAGUUGCACAUGAUUUGUACUGCUUUUGUAGAGCUUUACUCUGUCAUUGUCUAUAAGAUUAAAAUGUAAGGAGGAAUACCAUGUUUCAACCGCACAGUGUUUCUUUAAACAGGCAGUGAAUGGCGCUUUGAGAUUGAAUAUGACUUGUACAUAGUCAGAUGGUGAUGAAAUGCGUGUGUAAGGCCAAUUCAUUUGUAAGUGCUAUACACCAAAACAUUUGGGUUUGAGAUCAAAAAAAUGGAUAUGAGACAGAAUUUAAGAGUUUAGGAUUUCAGCUUUUGUUUCUAAAUCUAGAUGUGUUAAAUCAUAGAACCUUUUGUAUCAGACAACCCAUUUUUUAGGUGAGCAAAAGUAUAGGAACAGAUAGGUUUUGAAGUAAGUCAAAGUAAAUAAGACAAUACUUGGUUGCAUAUCCCUUGCUUGCAAUAACUACAUCAAGCCUACGACUCACUGACAUCACCAAACUGUUGGUUUCUUCUUUUGUGAUGCUUUUCCAGGCUUUUACUGCAGCCUCUUUCAGCCUUCUUUACAUCUACAUAUAAAUACCAGGAAAUAAAAGCUGAAAUUCUAUGCUCUCUUCUCAUAUUCACCUUUUGAUCUCAAACUCAAAUGUCUUCAGUAGUAGUAUCAGAGGGGACUAUAUACCUUAUUGGUAGA